rnacentral:rRNA from 1 species
UAGAAGGUUCAUAUAACUACGGGUUACACCUGUUCCCAUCUCGAACACAGAAGUUAAGCCUAGCUAGCCGAGUCAUUACUGUUAUCCAACGGGAAAUCUCUGGUGACCUUCAUC